ensembl:snRNA U6 U6 spliceosomal RNA
GUGCUCGCUUUGGCAGCACAUAUACUAAAAAUGAAAUGCUACAGAGAAGAUUAGCAUGGCCCUUGUGCAAGAAUGACAUGCAAAUAGAAAUAACAGUUAUAGUAAUAA